GUGGGGAAUAUUGGACAAUGGGCGAAAGCCUGAUCCAGCCAUGCCGCGUGUGUGAAGAAGGUCUUCGGAUUGUAAAGCACUUUAAGUUGGGAGGAAGGGCAGUAAGUUAAUACCUUGCUGUUUUGACGUUACCGACAGAAUAAGCACCGGCUAACUUCGUGCCAGCAGCCGCGGUAAUACGAAGGGUGCAAUCGUUAAUCGGAAUUACUGGGCGUAAAGCGCGUGUAGGCUGACAUGCAAGUCGGGUGUGAAAUCCCAGGGCUCAACCUUGGAACUGCACUCGAAACUGCACGUCUUGAGUACUGGAGAGGGAAGCGGAAUUCCGGGUGUAGAGGUGAAAUUCGUAGAUAUCCGGAGGAACACCAGUGGCGAAGGCGGCUUCCUGGACAGUAACUGACGCUGAGACGCGAAAGCGUGGGGAGCAAACAGGAUUAGAUACCCGAGUAGUCC
rnacentral:rRNA from 1 species